UGAAGGAGUGAGCAUUGAAGCUGAGGCUUUGCAGGACAUAUAGGAGUGUACUGCCUUCCACAGGCCCAGCUCAUUGCGCAAGCCAUCGG
rnacentral:miRNA from 14 species